rnacentral:rRNA from 1 species
CCUACGGGUGGCAGCAGUGGGGAAUAUUGGACAAUGGGGGGAACCCUGAUCCAGCCAUGCCGCGUGUGUGAAGAAGGCCCUCGGGUUGUAAAGCACUUUCAGUGAGGAAGAACGCCUGGUGGUUAAUACCCAUCAGGAAAGACAUCACUCACAGAAGAAGCACCGGCUAACUCCGUGCCAGCAGCCGCGGUAAUACGGAGGGUGCGGCGUUAAUCGGAAUUACUGGGCGUAAAGCGCGCGUAGGUGGCUUGAUAAGCCGGUUGUGAAAGCCCCGGGCUCAACCUGGGAACGGCAUCCGGAACUGUCAAGCUAGAGUGCAGGAGAGGAAGGUAGAAUUCCCGGUGUAGCGGUGAAAUGCGUAGAGAUCGGGAGGAAUACCAGUGGCGAAGGCGGCCUUCUGGACUGACACUGACACUGAGGUGCGAAAGCGUGGGUAGCAAACAGGAUUAGAUACCCCUGUAGUC